rnacentral:piRNA from 1 species
UAGUAUGGACAGAGAUACCCUGACAUAUA